rnacentral:rRNA from 1 species
UACGGGGGAAGCAAGCGUUAUUCGGAAUUAUUGGGCGUAAAGGGCGCGUAGGCGGUUUUGUCGGUCAGAUGUGAAAGCCCGGGGCUCAACCCCGGACGUGCAUUUGAAACAGCAAGACUUGAGUACGGGAGAGGGAAGCGGAAUUCCUGGUGUAGCGGUGAAAUUCGUAGAUAUCAGGAGGAACACCGAUGGCGAAGGCAGCUUUCUGGACCGAUACUGACGCUGAGGCGCGAAGGCGUGGGUAGAGAACAGGAUUAGAUACCCUGGUAGUCCACGCAGUAAACGAUGUACACUCGGUGUAGCGGAUAUUAAAAUCUGCUGCGCCGAAGCUAACGCAUUAAGUGUACCGCCUGGGGAGUACGGUCGCAAGACUAAA